rnacentral:lncRNA from 1 species
CGCAAACAGAGGAUCCCGUCAGAUUCAGGCGGCCAGAACUCCUCCUCACCCAGGCCACCCCCCGGGGCCCACAGCCUGGACAGCUACCGGCGUGGCGCCUGCGGCACCGAGACCCCAGGCGAGGGUGUGGAGGCGGCGGCGGCUUCCCCGCGACCGUGAACAACGACGCCAUUAUCAGCACCCCCUGCCGGCCCCUCCGGCGCAGCCCGCGCAGGAGAUCUUGAAAAGCGCCGGAGAGCCAGGUGAAGAGCUGGGCUCCCAAGGGGGUGAUAGAACCAGCCCGCGGCCCAGCCUCCUCCUCCCGCUUCCCAUUCACAGCCCGGCUGCUGCAGAACGGCCGCGCCUGCCCUCCCGGUUUCUCCCGUCCAGUCUUCACCGUCCUUUCCCAGAGAAAGCGACAGCACAGCCUAUGACAACCGAAGCUAAAACGGAAAAACUGGGCCGGGCGCAAGAGGAAACCAGAGCCAUUCGACUAUUGCUAGAGGAGAGGAAUAGCUGCAGAAAAACAUGCGCAAAAUAGGCACAAACAUUGCGUCGUCAAGGCUGCAAUGUCUAAUACAAAAUAGAAGGUUCUCAUAGCAACAAAAACGUGCCCAUGUUGUGCUCAGUAUUACAUGCGUUAAAAUGUUCUUAGUUGUGAAAUUUGACAUGACCGCUGGUUAAAGUUACAAUGGAAGUUUUAAAUCCCGCUUUCCGGAAACUUUGCAGCUAUAGCAUGAAGUUAAAUUUUUGUCUUAUUUUCUGGAUAAGUUUACUGUACUGGAACAUAGUAAAGCUCUUUUUAUAAAGAGCUUUGAAUAAAAUACGUAAUGAUGUGGUUGAAACGAACACCUAUUUUCAAAACUAAUCUUAAAUGGUAUUUCAGUGCAUAUGUUGUGUAAAAGCAAUUUAUAAACUAAAUUUUAAGAGCCUUCAAAAUACAAGGUACUCGUAUUUAAUGACUUAACAGUUUUAAUGCUUUUAUUGUUUCUAUAAUCUCAGGAAAUCCUAAAACUGACUAUAUUUUUCUUUAUUAAAAUAACUUUUUCUGUAGAAGAUACCCAUUUGGCGCUGUGAUCAGCAUUCUACUUGAAAUUGAAUAUAAACAACUGAAUCAUUACAAAAUGGCUCAUGUUAGAAGAUACUUAAAACGAAUACAAUCUUGUACAGUAAAUUUUUAACACCCCAAAAAACGAAAAGUAAUUAUUAGCAUUCAUUUAUAUCUAAAUCUCAGUCAAUAUGAUCUAAAUAUUUGUGUUUAAAGACUCCCCCUUUCCAUAUAGAUAAUGAAGGGCUUUGAAAUAAGUGUAGGAAACCCUAAGUUUGGUCUCAGGCUUCCUAUUCAUUCACUAUGCUUUUUCGUGUGCUGUUUACAGUUUCCUUUUUCUGGAAUGCCUUUCCCUGCUUUUUUCCCCCGCCAACAUUUCAGCUUCCCACAGACAAACAUUUGUGCCCUCCUGGUUGUCCUGCAGGAUGACCUUUGUUUUUGUUUUUGUCUUUUGUUUUUCGAGACAGGGUCUCGCUCUGUCGUCCAGGAUGGAGUGCAGUGGUGCGAUCUCUGCUCACUGCAACUUCCGCCUCCCGGUCUCAAGUGACCCUCCCACCGCAACCUCCCAAGUAGCUGGGAGGAGAGGCGCGCGCCACCAUGUCUGGCUAGUUUUUGUAUUUUUUGUAGAGACAGAGUUUCCCCAUGUUGCCCAGGCUGCUCUCAAACUCCUGAGCUCAAGCGAUCUGCCGCCUGCCUCGCCCUCCCAAAGUUCUGGGAUUACAGGUGUGAGCCACUGUGCCUGGCCAGGAUGACCUUCUUGAAGUCACCUACUCAUUGAAGCUUUCCCUCUCAGCCUUUUCCUCUGUGGCCCCAUGCUUAUAGAGCCUCCCACAUUGAUUUGCAGUGCCUUCGUUCGUUCACUUUAUUUCCACCUACCAAACAGUAAGAUCUUGAAGACAGAAACGGCAUUAUUCGUUCAUAUAUCCCCGGUAUCUAGUACAAUUUUUCUGUUUGCAAUAAUAAAU